AGUUCAAGCUGUAUUAAAGCAGGUCUCUGCUGUGUGUAGUGUAAUCUCUAUGUGAUUGUCUUCUUUUUGUCUCCAGAUGGUGUUGCUGUUUUGAAUU